rnacentral:tRNA from 1 species
AAGACAAUAGUUUAUUUAGAACAUUUGGUUUGCAUUCAAAAAGAAUAGUUGUUUGUCUUA